AUGUACAAAAGGAAACACGUGAAUCCCAACUCCGAUGUCACAAUACCAGCAUACAUAUGUACAAUAGAAAACCCACUCCGAUGUCACAAUACCAGCAUACAUAUGUACAAUAGAAAACCCAUGAAUCCCGACCCCGAUGUCCCAAUAACAGGGCCUUAUUACAAACCAGACGUAUUAACUAACUUGACAGUUUAUCAUACAUAA